rnacentral:misc_RNA from 1 species
UCAUUCACUUCAACAUCAGCAUUUUCAACAGUUCCACCAGCCAUGAUGUUCAGCAGAUCUUUCUCAACACGCUGGACAAGCUCAGGAUUUAAGUCUGGCCCCUACGAAAUCGUCGUUUUCGAGCAUCCCUCAUUGGAGGAUUGAGUCCAUGUCUGGACUCCACUACCUCUGGAGCAAUGUCACCUGCUUCUCUAACCAUAAUCAUCUGACCAAUAUCUGCAGUUUUGACUAGUGCACAAUCAUCAUAAGUUUUGUAUGACUCCACAACACAAGGAAGCUCCAAGAGAGAGGCAGGGAAAUGGUCAUUGCCAAUGACAAAUGUGCUACUUCUGCCAUCCUCAGAAAAAGACAAAUCCAAUGAUUGAUCUUCGUCAGAAGGAGUAUUUUCACUCAAAAGACGAUCUAAACGCUCAGAAGGCGGGACUCUUAGUAUGAACUGCUCCUCCAUAUUGAAGAAAGUGAGUGACGGAGACAAUCGGGCAUCAACCAGAUUGAUUGCGAGAUCGACACAAUUUUUC